GAACUUAAGCAUAUCACUAAGCGGAGGAAAAGAAACUAACAAGGAUUCCCUCAGUAACGGCGAGUGAACAGGGAAAAGCCCAGCACCGAAGCCUGUGGCCAGUUGGUCACUAGGCAAUGUGGUGUUUAGGUCGUUCCGCAGAGGCACUGCUCCACCCCAAGUCCAUCAAUGAGUACGGUAGUACAGACAUGGCCCAUGGAGGGUGAAAGGCCCGUUCGGGUGGAGAUUCGGCAGGCCAGUGCUUCUCUGGGUAGACCUUGGAGUCGGGUUGUUUGUGAAUGCAGCCCAAAGUGGGUGGUAAACUCCAUCCAAGGCUAAAUACAAGCACGAGUCCGAUAGCGAACAAGUACCGUGAGGGAAAGUUGAAAAGUACUUUGAAGAGAGAGUUAACAGUGCGUGAAACCGCUCAGAGGUAAACAGGUGGAGUUGAACUGCAAGCUUUGAGAAUUCAGCUGGUGAGGUUGUCUUGGGCUUGGUCAAAUGGGUUGGGCCCCGAAGCACGUUAAACCACGUGUCCUCUCCCUUUGGGUUGGGAUGUGCGAUACACUUACCAAGUG
rnacentral:rRNA from 1 species